GCACGAGUAGCUCAAUUGGUAGAGCGCACAACUUAUAAUUGUGAGAGUGGCGGUUCAAAUCCGCCCUUGUGCA
rnacentral:tRNA from 1 species